AACGAACGCUGGCGGCAGGCUUAACACAUGCAAGUCGAGCGCCUCGCAAGGGGAGCGGCAGACGGGUGAGUAACGCGUGGGAACAUGCCCAAAGGUACGGAACAACUCCGGGAAACUGGAGCUAAUACCGUAUGUGACCGAGAGGUGAAAGAUUUAUCGCCUUUGGAUUGGCCCGCGUUGGAUUAGCUAGUUGGUGGGGUAAAGGCCUACCAAGGCGACGAUCCACAGCUGGUCUGAGAGGAUGAUCAGCCACACUGGGACUGAGACACGGCCCAGACUCCUACGGGAGGCAGCAGUGGGGAAUAUUGGACAAUGGGCGCAAGCCUGAUCCAGCCAUGCCGCGUGUGUGAUGAAGGCCUUAGGGUUGUAAAGCUCUUUCGCCAGGGACGAUAAUGACGGUACCUGGAUAAGAAGCCCCGGCUAACUUCGUGCCAGCAGCCGCGGUAAGAC
rnacentral:rRNA from 1 species